rnacentral:rRNA from 1 species
UGCUAAUCUGCGAUAAGCGUCGGUAAGGUGAUAUGAACCGUUAUAACCGGCGAUUUCCGAAUGGGGAAACCCAGUGUGUUUCGACACACUAUCAUUAACUGAAUCCAUAGGUUAAUGAGGCGAACCGGGGGAACUGAAACAUCUAAGUACCCCGAGGAAAAGAAAUCAACCGAGAUUCCCCCAGUAGCGGCGAGCGAACGGGGAGCAGCCCAGAGCCUGAAUCAGUGUGUGUGUUAGUGGAAGCGUCUGGAAAGGCGCGCGAUACAGGGUGACAGCCCCGUACACAAAAAUGCACAUGCUGUGAGCUCGAUGAGUAGGGCGGGACACGUGGUAUCCUGUCUGAAUAUGGGGGGACCAUCCUCCAAGGCUAAAUACUCCUGACUGACCGAUAGUGAACCAGUACCGUGAGGGAAAGGCGAAAAGAACCCCGGCGAGGGGAGUGAAAAAGAACCUGAAACCGUG